UACGUAGGUGGCAAGCGUUAUCCGGAAUUACUGGGUGUAAAGGGCGUGUAGGCGGGGAUGUAAGUCAGAUGUGAAAUUCCGGGGCUCAACCCCGGAGGUGCAUCUGAAACUGCGUCUCUUGAGUGCUGGAGAGGAAAGCGGAAUUCCUAGUGUAGCGGUGAAAUGCGUAGAUAUUAGGAGGAACACCAGUGGCGAAGGCGGCUUUCUGGACAGUAACUGACGCUGAGGCGCGAAAGCGUGGGGAG
rnacentral:rRNA from 1 species